rnacentral:rRNA from 1 species
UACGUAGGGUGCAAGCGUUGUCCGGAAUUAUUGGGCGUAAAGAGCUCGUAGGCGGUUUGUCGCGUCUGCUGUGAAAACUCGGGGCUUAACUCCGGGCCUGCAGUGGGUACGGGCAGACUAGAGUGCGGUAGGGGAGACUGGAAUUCCUGGUGUAGCGGUGAAAUGCGCAGAUAUCAGGAGGAACACCAAUGGCGAAGGCAGCUCGCUGGGACGGUAUUGACGCUGAGACGCGAAAGCGUGGGGAGCAAACAGG